GAGGUCGAGCGGGGGGCUGUGGAGGCCGGGCUACAGAGGCAGGGAGAGGCGCGCGCCACACCCGCGGCUUAAUAGGCUGAGGAGGGGAUGCGUGUGGAAAAAAAAAAACCGGUCGCGCGCGGAGGGGAGGGGAGGGGAGGAGGAGAGGGAGGUAACCGCGGGGGAACGAUUUUAACCGAGUGGCCCGAUUCAUGGUAGCAGGCAGCACGCGCGCUCGCGCCGACGGCUUCGACCUGGCGCCCGCGCCGCCCCCGGCCUCGGCCCCGCUCCCGCUCCCGCUGCUGCCGCCAGUACCCCAGGCAGUGGACCGCGUUCCGGAUGCCGCGGGAGUUCCUGAGGUGGUUCCAACCGGAGCGGUUGAAGUUGUCGCUCAUGUUCCUAAACCUAUAGCGGUAGCACUUCCGCUGCUUGGUGCACCUCACGGGCGGGUUCCUCGCCGUGAAGUCCUCCUAUUACAAACGUUUGAGCCGUUUAGCGGGCGCCCGGCUGCAGCGGAUGAGGUAUACACGUAACCGGUCCUCUAACAGGUUCUGGUUCUUAACCUAUCAACGUGAAUUUUGUGACUAUCACUAUGUAUCCAAUGACUCUCUUCCACUGCCCAGUAAGUUUCUACUGAAGGACUCGAUAAGUAUGUCUCCUUUGUAAAACGUCGAAGGUUUAAAGUCCCUACUGAGCUCGGGUAAUCGUACCCUAAGGAGACGAACCCAAGCGGACAUACGUAAGAUGGAUGUACUUGCACAGCUUACGAAAUCCCAAGAUUUUAUGCUGCAGCUUCGGCUAGCAGACCACUUUCAUGGUGUCCGAAGACCGUUCCGUGUGUCAUCUUGUUCUUGGGAAGGUACACUUCUAGAAAAUCUAGUCAACGGACGUAACGUCUUCGAUGAUGAGGCUGAAUAAAGAACGGUCGGACUUCCAUGCCGGACGUGUUUAGUGGAACAUGUUAUACGUAAUCGGGAACAAAACUUCCUCUCGAAGUUUUAUAUGACAAGCUAUUUACUGCCGUAGUAGUUAGAACAACUAUACAUAAAACUAUACCGUUUUUACCUACGAUAGUUCCGGGAACUUUAAAUAUUUUCUCGACCGGUCGUCCGUCUUUUCGAAAGACGCAUAAUACUGAUGACGUUUUUAGAACUCGAGCGGUUCUGAAAGGUCAAAGGAUGAAACUCCGUCGGUGGAAGAAGUAAGGAACAUUGAUACCUUCUCAUGUAGUCUCUUCGUGGGUCACAGUCGUAGUGCUCUCACUCAAGUGGAUCACUGGUACUUCUACUUCGAGGUGUCCUUUGGCUCUUUGGACAACUUGUCCUCUUUCUUCUCGGUCGUCUUCGACGUGGGCUUCUUCUCGGUGUUAUAUGGUGAGAGAGUCUUCUUCUACUUGGGGGUGGUAACGCCGGUUGGUUGUUACCCCUAGAUAAUUUGAACCUACUUCUUAACGUGGGGUACUAACGUUUGGAACUUGUUUCGUUGCGUGAGCGAGAACGGUAGCACCUUGGUCCCUCACUCUUGUUACGGAGCCGGGGAGAUCUGAACAAACGGUAACUGUUUCGACCCACCCUUAACCGUGACCAGUGACGGGUCUCAUUGGUGUGUUCGGUUGGUCGACAGUCGGGUCACGUCGGGCCUCCCAAGCUGUUCGACGACGACCUGUCGGAUAUGCUUCUGCUGUGUUCCUCCGUCGUUUAGCGGUCACACUGGAUGCGGCCGCCGCAGUGCCACUUGGGUAAACUGGGGUUGCUGGGCAAGCGGUACAGGUUGUCGAAGCGCGGCGGUAGCUUACACGUCAAGCGGUACUACCCCGUCGUCGUCGUCAUGAUGGUCCGUGUCGUCGUACCGAUGAAGGUCUACGUCGUCGUUGUUGUGGUGGUUUACCACCGCUACGGCGGUGUCUGUAUGGUCGUCGUCGUCCGAGUCAUGCGGCACUUACGGCCUAAUAGGUUGGGCAAACCUCUAGGCAAGUCGCGAGAGCAGUGCUGCCGCUUAGGCGGUUUCGUUUUGUUAGUCUAAAUCGGACUUAACGCGCUAGAAACGACAUAGAAUGAGAUUAAAGCCAGUCAGCAUAUGGGUGGGGAGAAGAUUAAGACUCCUCGUUGAACAUAUCAGACUUGAAACGACCAUGACAUUUGGAAUACCUUUAACACAUUGUACAAACCCUUUACUAUGUUAGCAAACUUACGGUA
rnacentral:rRNA from 1 species